rnacentral:rRNA from 1 species
GACGAACGCUGGCGGCGUGCUUAACACAUGCAAGUCGAACGGAAAGGCUCUGCUUUUGUGGGGUGCUCGAGUGGCGAACGGGUGAGUAACACGUGAGUAACCUGCCCUUGACUUUGGGAUAACUUCAGGAAACUGGGGCUAAUACCGGAUAGGAGCUCCUGCUGCAUGGUGGGGGUUGGAAAGUUUCGGCGGUUGGGGAUGGACUCGCGGCUUAUCAGCUUGUUGGUGGGGUAGUGGCUUACCAAGGCUUUGACGGGUAGCCGGCCUGAGAGGGUGACCGGCCACAUUGGGACUGAGAUACGGCCCAGACUCCUACGGGAGGCAGCAGUGGGGAAUAUUGCACAAUGGGCGGAAGCCUGAUGCAGCAACGCCGCGUGCGGGAUGACGGCCUUCGGGUUGUAAACCGCUUUCGCCUGUGACGAAGCGUGAGUGACGGUAAUGGGUAAAGAAGCACCGGCUAACUACGU